GUCUAGAGUACAUAUACAUCGUAUUAUAGGAAUCGUAUGUCGGCUACAAUUUACAAACAUAAAUGAUCACAAGGCGAGGAAAAUUCCCCGUUUUACAAUACUCCUGAUGCAAAAUAGCGAUGAUACUGAUUUCUUCCCCUCCCUCCUGUCCCUCCCGCCCUUAAAUUUCAUUCCUCUUUUUCAUUCGAAUUUUCUAUACUCGCAAGAACUUUUAUCGCGUCACCCAUUAUCGCGGUACACAUAAAUUACUUCACAAGUACGUACUUUUUGACGCAACAAUAUAUUAACGAACAAGCUAGUAUUUCCAUUGUUCUUUUUUUUUUCCUUUUUUUUUUAUCUUUGACAAUCGUGGUUUAGUUUUCGACGCAGUAUACCUAAGUAUAUAUAUCGAUCAUGGUGCUUACGUUCAGUUCCAUGCACGGAUUAAAUCUCUGCACGGCCAUCGAUACGUAAGAAAGAGACUCGCGUUGCUAUCGCUACGCGAAAUCAUUUUGAGCCUACUUAUUAUAAGAAAAAGGAAUAUCGGGGCUGAUCGUAGAGGAUGGAAACGAGAGAAAGAGAAGGGGACCAUACUCGCGAUAUCGUUCUUCUGUCGCCGAUCGAUCACGUCGAGAACUGCGUUCCAACAAAACU
rnacentral:misc_RNA from 1 species